CAGAAAACACAACCUUCACCAACCCUUGGAAGUUCUUCUCUGCUGAAAUACUUAACCCACUUUAUAUUUCAGAUCCGAGAAAGGAAAGUACCAACAGAAGAGACAUUCCCCAGAUACCCCUGGUGUUCACUGGCACUCCAUGUGAUUAGCAGCUACUGGAAAGUAGAUGUCCAUCACCUUCGUUUAGAUACACAGACUGUGGUGGGUAAGAACACAGGUCUGCACCUGACGGGAGCUUGAAUCUGGCUCAUUAUGAACUUAGUACCCGGGCCUCUCACUGUUGUGGCCUCUCCCAUUGCGGAUGCGCAGGCUCAGCGGCCAUGGCUCAC